AGCUUAAUCAAAUUCAAAAAAACCUCAAAGAAAUUUCAAACAAACAAUAGGAAUUUUUAAAGAAACAUUAGAAAGAAUACAAAUAUCAUUCAAAUACAUCUCAAUUAAAUCUUAAUUUAAUUCUAGUUAAAAUCCUAUUGAAUUUCAUUCAAAAUUUAGGCCAAAACUAAUUGAAUCUUAAAUCCUAAUUAAAUCCUAAAUCCUAAAUCAAACCCCGAUCAAAUCCUAAACCAAAUCCUAACCAAACCCUAAACUAAAUCCUAAAUCCUAAAUCAAAUCCUAACCAAAUCCUAAUCCAAAUCCUAAAUCCUAAACCAAAUCCUAAUCCAAAUCCUAAACCAAAUUCUAAUCCAAAUCCUAAACCUUAAAUCAAACCCUAGCUAAAUCCUAAAUCCUUAAUCAAAUCCUAACCAAACUCUAAAUCCUAAAUCAAAUCCUAACAAAAUCCUAAAUCAAAUCCUAAUUUAAAUCCUAAAUCCUAAAUCCUAAAUAAAACCCUAUCUAAAUUCUAAACCCUAAACCAAAUCCUAAUCCAAACCCUAAACCUUAAACCAAACCCUAACCAAAUCCUAACCAAAUCCUA
rnacentral:lncRNA from 1 species